rnacentral:rRNA from 1 species
UGUUACAAUGGGGGGUACGAGAGGGCCGCUACCACGCGAGUGGAUGCCAAUCCCUAAAACCCCUCUCAGUUCGGACUGGAGUCUGCAACCCGACUCCACGAAGCUGGAUUCGCUAGUAAUCGCGCAUCAGCCACGGCGCGGUGAAUACGUUCCCGGGCCUUGUACACACCGCCCGUCAAGCCAUGGGAGCCGGGGGUACCUGAAGUGCGUAACCGCGAGGAUCGCCCUAGGGUAAAACUGGUGACUGGGGCUAAGUCGUAACAAGGUAGC